rnacentral:rRNA from 1 species
GGUUAAGCGACUAAGCGUACACGGUGGAUGCCCUGGCAGUCAGAGGCGAUGAAGGACGUGCUAAUCUGCGAUAAGCGUCGGUAAGGUGAUAUGAACCGUUAUAACCGGCGAUUUCCGAAUGGGGAAACCCAGUGUGAUUCGUCACACUAUCAUUAACUGAAUCCAUAGGUUAAUGAGGCGAACCGGGGGAACUGAAACAUCUAAGUACCCCGAGGAAAAGAAAUCAACCGAGAUUCCCCCAGUAGCGGCGAGCGAACGGGGAGCAGCCCAGAGCCUGAAUCAGUGUGUGUGUUAGUGGAAGCGUCUGGAAAGGCGUGCGAUACAGGGUGACAGCCCCGUACACAAAAAUGCACAUACUGUGAGCUCGAUGAGUAGGGCGGGACACGUGGUAUCCUGUCUGAAUAUGGGGGGACCAUCCUCCAAGGCUAAAUACUCCUGACUGACCGAUAGUGAACCAGUACCGUGAGGGAAAGGCGAAAAGAACCCCGGCGAGGGGAGUGAAAAAGAACCUGAAACCGUGUACGUACAAGCAGUGGGAGCACGCUUAGGCGUGUGACUGCGUACCUUUUGUAUAAUGGGUCAGCGACUUAUAUUCUGUAGCAAGGUUAACCGAAUAGGGGAGCCGAAGGGAAACCGAGUCUUAACUGGGCGUUAAGUUGCAGGGUAUAGACCCGAAACCCGGUGAUCUAGCCAUGGGCAGGUUGAAGGUUGGGUAACACUAACUGGAGGACCGAACCGACUAAUGUUGAAAAAUUAGCGGAUGACUUGUGGCUGGGGGUGAAAGGCCAAUCAAACCGGGAGAUAGCUGGUUCUCCCCGAAAGCUAUUUAGGUAGCGCCUCGUGAAUUCAUCUCCGGGGGUAGAGCACUGUUUCGGCAAGGGGGUCAUCCCGACUUACCAACCCGAUGCAAACUGCGAAUACCGGAGAAUGUUAUCACGGGAGACACACGGCGGGUGCUAACGUCCGUCGUGAAGAGGGAAACAACCCAGACCGCCAGCUAAGGUCCCAAAGUCAUGGUUAAGUGGGAAACGAUGUGGGAAGGCCCAGACAGCCAGGAUGUUGGCUUAGAAGCAGCCAUCAUUUAAAGAAAGCGUAAUAGCUCACUGGUCGAGUCGGCCUGCGCGGAAGAUGUAACGGGGCUAAACCAUGCACCGAAGCUGCGGCAGCGACGCUUAUGCGUUGUUGGGUAGGGGAGCGUUCUGUAAGCCUGUGAAGGUGUACUGUGAGGUAUGCUGGAGGUAUCAGAAGUGCGAAUGCUGACAUAAGUAACGAUAAAGCGGGUGAAAAGCCCGCUCGCCGGAAGACCAAGGGUUCCUGUCCAACGUUAAUCGGGGCAGGGUGAGUCGACCCCUAAGGCGAGGCCGAAAGGCGUAGUCGAUGGGAAACAGGUUAAUAUUCCUGUACUUGGUGUUACUGCGAAGGGGGGACGGAGAAGGCUAUGUUGGCCGGGCGACGGUUGUCCCGGUUUAAGCGUGUAGGCUGGUUUUCCAGGCAAAUCCGGAAAAUCAAGGCCGAGGCGUGAUGACGAGGCACUACGGUGCUGAAGCAACAAAUGCCCUGCUUCCAGGAAAAGCCUCUAAGCAUCAGGUAACAUCAAAUCGUACCCCAAACCGACACAGGUGGUCAGGUAGAGAAUACCAAGGCGCUUGAGAGAACUCGGGUGAAGGAACUAGGCAAAAUGGUGCCGUAACUUCGGGAGAAGGCACGCUGAUACGUAGGUGAAGCGACUUGCUCGUGGAGCUGAAAUCAGUCGAAGAUACCAGCUGGCUGCAACUGUUUAUUAAAAACACAGCACUGUGCAAACACGAAAGUGGACGUAUACGGUGUGACGCCUGCCCGGUGCCGGAAGGUUAAUUGAUGGGGUUAGCGCAAGCGAAGCUCUUGAUCGAAGCCCCGGUAAACGGCGGCCGUAACUAUAACGGUCCUAAGGUAGCGAAAUUCCUUGUCGGGUAAGUUCCGACCUGCACGAAUGGCGUAAUGAUGGCCAGGCUGUCUCCACCCGAGACUCAGUGAAAUUGAACUCGCUGUGAAGAUGCAGUGUACCCGCGGCAAGACGGAAAGACCCCGUGAACCUUUACUAUAGCUUGACACUGAACAUUGAGCCUUGAUGUGUAGGAUAGGUGGGAGGCUUUGAAGUGUGGACGCCAGUCUGCAUGGAGCCGACCUUGAAAUACCACCCUUUAAUGUUUGAUGUUCUAACGUGGACCCGUAAUCCGGGUUGCGGACAGUGUCUGGUGGGUAGUUUGACUGGGGCGGUCUCCUCCUAAAGAGUAACGGAGGAGCACGAAGGUUGGCUAAUCCUGGUCGGACAUCAGGAGGUUAGUGCAAUGGCAUAAGCCAGCUUGACUGCGAGCGUGACGGCGCGAGCAGGUGCGAAAGCAGGUCAUAGUGAUCCGGUGGUUCUGAAUGGAAGGGCCAUCGCUCAACGGAUAAAAGGUACUCCGGGGAUAACAGGCUGAUACCGCCCAAGAGUUCAUAUCGACGGCGGUGUUUGGCACCUCGAUGUCGGCUCAUCACAUCCUGGGGCUGAAGUAGGUCCCAAGGGUAUGGCUGUUCGCCAUUUAAAGUGGUACGCGAGCUGGGUUUAGAACGUCGUGAGACAGUUCGGUCCCUAUCUGCCGUGGGCGCUGGAGAACUGAGGGGGGCUGCUCCUAGUACGAGAGGACCGGAGUGGACGCAUCACUGGUGUUCGGGUUGUCAUGCCAAUGGCACUGCCCGGUAGCUAAAUGCGGAAGAGAUAAGUGCUGAAAGCAUCUAAGCACGAAACUUGCCCCGAGAUGAGUUCUCCCUGACCCUUUAAGGGUCCUGAAGGAACGUUGAAGACGACGACGUUGAUAGGCCGGGUGUGUAAGCGCAGCGAUGCGUUGAGCUAACCGGUACUAAUGAACCGUGAGGCUUAACCUU